GCCGCUGUGGCGGAACAGGCAGACGCAAGGGACUUAAAAUCCCUCGGUAGCAAUACCGUACCGGUUCAAGUCCGGUCAGCGGCACCA
rnacentral:tRNA from 1 species